GGCAGGCGCAGCAUACACAUGCAGNUCGAACGAGAUCUUCCGACGUAUUGGGGCACGGGGUGCGUAACGCGUGGGAAUCUGCCCCUUGGUUCGCAAUAAACUCUCCGAAAUUGGUGCUAUACCGGAUGAUAUCUCAAGACCACCAGAUUUUUCUCCCAGUGAUGAGCCCCCGUAUGAUUAUCUAUUUGGGGUGGGAAAAGCGCACCAAGGCGACAAUACUUAUCUGGGCUGAGAGGAUGAUCACCCACACUGUGACUGAGACACGGCCCACACUCCUACGGGAGGCACCACUGGGGAAUAUUGUACAAUGGGCGAAAGCCUGAUCCACCAAUGCCCCGUGAGUGAUAAAAGCCUUUUGGUUGUAAAGCUCUUUUACCCCGGAAAAUAAUGACAGUGCCCGGAGAAAAAACUCCGGCUAUCUCUGUGCCCCCAGCCGCGGUAAUACAGAGGGGGCUAGCGUUAUUCUCAAUUUCUGGGCGUAAAGCGCACGUAGGCGGCUUUUUGUAUCUCAGAUGAAAGCCCCUGGCUCUCCUCUCGAAAUGCCUUUUAGACUGUAUCUCUUGAGUCUCGGAGAGGUGAGAGUAAUUCUCAGUGUGGAGGUGAAAUUCUCAGAUAUUCUCAAAAAAACCACUGGCGAAAGCGGCUCACUGUACAUGUAUUGACACUGAGGUGCGAAAGAGUGUGGAGCAAACACGAUUAUAUACCCUGGGAGACCCCACCCCUUAAGAUGAUAACAAUCUGUGCCGGGCCUUUUGGUUUGAGGGCGGCACAUAAAGCCUUAUGUUUUCCCCCUGGGGAGAACGGCCUCACAGUUAUAAUUCUAAAGACUUUUCGGGGGCCUCUA
rnacentral:rRNA from 1 species